rnacentral:rRNA from 1 species
AGCAGCAUCGCGGUGGCGGAGCGUCGUUUGCGACGCCCAACACACAAAACAAGCGGUGAGUGCUUUGGGGUGGGGUGACUGCGUACCUUUUGUAUAAUGGGUCAGCGACUUAUAUUCUGUAGCAAGGUUAACCGUAUAGGGGAGCCGUAGGGAAACCGAGUCUUAACCGGGCGUUAAGUUGCAGGGUAUAGACCCGAAACCCGGUGAUCUAGCCAUGGGCAGGUUGAAGGUUGGGUAACACUAACUGGAGGACCGAACCGACUAAUGUUGAAAAAUUAGCGGAUGACCUGUGGCUGGGGGUGAAAGGCCAAUCAAACCGGGAGAUAGCUGGUUCUCCCCGAAAGCUAUUUAGGUAGCGCCUCGUGAAUUCAUCUCCGGGGGUAGAGCACUGUUUCGGCUAGGGGGCCAUCCCGGCUUACCAACCCGAUGCAAACUGCGAAUACCGGAGAAUGUUAUCACGGGAGACACACGGCGGGUGCUAACGUCCGUCGUGAAGAGGGAAACAACCCAGACCGCCAGCUAAGGUCCCAAAGUCAUGGUUAAGUGGGAAACGAUGUGGGAAGGCCCAGACAGCCAGGAUGUUGGCUUAGAAGCAGCCAUCAUUUAAAGAAAGCGUAAUAGCUCACUGGUCGAGUCGGCCUGCGCGGAAGAUGUAACGGGGCUAAACCAU